UCUUACAUGUGAAAGUUCACUUUAACUUGGUAGUCCUGUACUACAGGAUAGUCAGUGUGCGAAGUGGUACUGUGGGUUGGGCUGUACUACAGGAUAGUCAGGUGUGCGAAGCGGUACUGUGGGUUGGGCUGUACUACAGAAUAGUCAGGUGUGCGAAGCGGCACUGUGCAGAGUUUGGGUUGGGCUGUACUACAGGAUAGUCAGGUGUGCGAAGCGGUACUGUGGGUUGGGCUGUACUACAGAAUAGUCAGGUGUGCGAAGUGGUACUGUGGGUUGGGCUGUACUACAGGAUAGUCAGGUGUGCGAAGCGGUACUGUGGGUUGGGCUGUACUACAGGAUAGUCAGGUGUGCGAAGCGGUACUGUGGGUUGGGCUGUACUACAGGAUAGUCAGGUGUGCGAAGCGGUACUGUGCAGAGUUCGGGUUGGGCUGUACUACAGGAUAGUCAGGUGUGCGAAGUGGUACUGUGGGUUGGGCUGUACUACAGGAUAGUCAGGUGUGCGAAGCGGUACUGUGGGUUGGGCUGUACUUCAGGAUAGUCAGGUGUGCGAAGCGGUACCGUGGGUUGGGCUGUACUUCAGGA